UUGGGAAGCAAACUGAGGACAUGAGAGUAGAUCAAAAAAUCAAAAUGUUGGCGGAAAUUAUAGUUGAAAUGAUUAAUUGUGUAUACAUUUAAAUUAGAACCAUUUAUUUUAAUACUAUUAUGUUAUGGUAUGAAAUGUAUGGGUUCUUGAUUAAGCUGUUACUGAAAAUGUAAGUAAAACGAAUCAAUUGUCUGUACCUUGCGGGUUUAAGGGAGAGGGAUGGCAUAUCUCUUUAGACAGAUAAAAAUGUUUGUUUUAUGUUCCAUUAGUAGAGGAGAGUAUAUCUUUUAGACAGAUUGGAAUGUUUGUUUUAUGAGGGGAGUAGAAGACAGUCUCCAGACCUGAAGACACUGUGCUAUUGUUUGGAUCGGAGAGAGUGUGAGAAACUGAUGACGUCAUUUUAUGUUCUCUCCUUAAAAUGUAAUGUUCUUUGUAUUUGGAGUCAGUACUCUCUUGAAUUAAACGCUGUAACCUGACUUUUAAGACUGGUCUCGAUCUAUUUCAUGCAUAAAUGAUAAACUUACAACUUAUUAUGAAAUAGAGAGAGUGUGAAUUUGGUUUUGGCUACAAAACAUAUAGGAAUUUAGAAUUCCUCUAACAAUUGGUCCUUCGAUCCCAGAUCUAAAUACCCCUCCCUGUUAUCUGGAGGUAGUACGCUGAAAAUCGUGCACGGACGGGAGACACCCAUUUACAAAAAAAAAAGUAAUGGCCUCCGAAUUGAGGUUAAAAUUCAGGCCUGCGUAUUAUCACAGAAAUCAGGGAAGGUGACUAGAUACAACGAACAUUGCUUUUCCCAGUCGGCAGCAGAUUUUAUGCACUACAGGUGAAGUCACUCAAUCCAGUCCCAGAGGCUUGUUGGGGGGACCUACCAAGGACUCCUGGUGACAGCUAGCUGAAAGAGCUACCCGGAUUCAUAUCGCACGGCGGGAGGGUAAGACACGUUAACGCUGUCGAACAAUAAACAGUGUUCGAGAGGAGAACUGGAAUUAACAGAAUUCCGGGGGCCAUCUCUCGAAUGAAAAAACCCUCCCUGUCUUUUCAUCCCUGUUGUUGUUCAUAGAAGUGAAGAUGUGUAUGGCUCUUGCUAAGUGAUGUGUUCUCGGGGAGAGGGUGGGGCUUCACAUGGAAGCUGUUUGUCUGAGCUGUUUUAUCGUGGGUGACAUAUUCCUGAUACAGCAUGUCCUACUUGAGUAUGCGGAGAGUGGUAAUUUGACCCAUGGUUUAGACGAUGAGGAUUUUGUUCCAAAAUAAGCAUAAGAGAUCCCUAGAUCUGGGUAGACAGGAAGUUAGAGUAGAGGUUGGGAAGGAUCUCUCAAUGGAGUUUUAUGUAGACCAAAAUGGAGUCUCUAACUACAUGACAGUCUAGGACUCUAAGCCAUUAUGGCAUAUAUCGGUGCAGGUUCCCAUAUUGAUCGUGGACACAGGUCAUAGCUCAUUUGGAGAGAGAGGGCUAUAUGAAUCCACUCACCCAGUAUGGAAGAAGGUAGAGUAGAGUGAAGAUGAGAGUUUUUGAUUGUAAUCAGGAGAGAGGGAUGUAUUGCAUAAAGAUACGAUUAACCCUUUAAACAGAAAUGAAGGAGAAUCUAGGGUUGUGGUAUGGAUAUGACCAGGUCUUGGUCGACACCCUAGUACGGUUCUGGGUAGAGGACUUUGGGCCGGUAUGGUAAAGCUGUUCACGAAAGCAGGAAUGCCAGAUAAUGACAGUUGUAUUGAUUUGCAGUAUUUAAAUCCCCAGGUUCCUCCCUUUACAGUGACCGGAGGAGAUUAUUACCGUUUGGCCCGGUACAGUACUCUUGGGAAAUGAUGUCAGGGCGAGGUUUUACCAACAGAUUGGACAGGAUUAUGCUCCAUUGUAAUGCUUUUGACACUCAUUCAACACCAAGACAUGAAGUAUAGCCAAAUGGGAGAAAAGAGCUAUUCCAUCCGGGUCUCUUAUUGACUAAGUACACAUUGAUAACAUUGGGGUUCCAAGGGGGGUGCCAGAUGAGUCAAAGCAAGAAAUCAGAUCCUAGCAGGAUUAGAGUUAAGCAUUUCCGGGGGGGUCUACUCUCAAUAAGAACGUGGACUGGAUUAAUUAUAUUUAUAAUAAUCAACAGCGCUUUAACAAGUAUACCAGAGAUGCUAUUAAAGGUUUUGCAGAACAGACUGAAGCAACCAGCUGGAUGGCUUGGCAGAAUAGAAUUGCAUUAGAUAUGUUAAUGGCUGAAAAGGAAGAAGUAUGCGUGAUUAUCAGGACCAUGUUUGUGCUUACAUCCCAAAUAACACAGCUCCGGACGAAUCAGUGCCUGAAGCCUCAGCUGGUUUGACCACCCUGGCUCACGGGUUGGCAGAAAACUCUGGGGUGGAUACUUCUUUGACUGAUUGGGUUUUGAUAGUACGUUUGGAAAAUGGAAAAAUGUAAUGAUCACUGUGUUAUGGGCUACAUUCACCUGUGUGACUGUUUUAGUUUUAGGGGGCUGGUGUCUAAUUCCCUGUGUAUGAGGCCUUAUUUCCAGGACUCUGGAGAAAUCUAUGACAAUAGAUGGUGCGGUAUGGGCCGAUUCCAGGUUCUGACCCGUGGAGGACUGAAUGUAUGACUACAGAACAAGUGGACGAAUCUGGAUCUUUUAUUUGUGGGGAAUUUAUAUUUGAUGAGACCAUUUUUGAUGUUUAGGGAGGCUAGGUUGUAUCCCAUCUCAGGAUUAGACCGUUUUUUAAUAAAGAUUGUAACGAAAAUCCUGAUAAGAAGAGUUAUGAUUCUGAUGUAGGUUUAAAAACAGUUGGAGUUAAGGUUAGAUUUGAUUAAUGAUGGGUGAAGAGUGUGAUAAACCUUCAUAAUAAGGUUAAUUAUAAGUCUAUUCGUAUGAUAAGUCUGAUAAGCCUCUAUAAUAAGGUUAGUUAUAAGUUUGUUCAUAUUUUUGUUUUUUAUGUUUGAUAAAAUUAGAUGUAGAUUUGAAUGUAUAAUAUUUAAUCAAAGGGAGGAUUGUUGGAGGAAAUUAUAGUUGAAAUGAUUAAUUAUGUAUCCAUUAAAUUAGAACCAUUUAUUUUAAUACUAUUAUGUUAUGGUAUGAAAUGUAUGGGUUCUUGGUUAAGCUGUUACUGAAAAUGUAAGUAAAACGAAUUAAUUGUCUGUACCUUGCGGGUUUAAGGGAGAGGGAUGGCAUAUCUCUUUAGAAAGAUAAAAAUGUUUGUUUUAUGUUCCAUUAGUAGAGGAGAGUAUAUAUUUUAGACAGAUUGGAAUGUUUGUUUUAUGAGGGGAGUAGAAGACAGUCUCCAGACCUGAAGACACUGCGCUAUUGUGUGGAUCGGAGAGAGUGUGAGAAACUGAUGACGUCAUUUUAUGUUCUCUCCUUAAAAUGUAAUGUUCUUUGUAUUUGGAAUCAGUACUCUCUUGAAUUAAACGCUGUUACCUGGC